AGAUUGAACGCUAGCGGGAUGCUUUACACAUGCAAGUCGAACGGCAGCGCGGACUUCGGUCUGGCGGCGAGUGGCGAACGGGUGAGUAAUAUAUCGGAACGUGCCCAGUAGCGGGGGAUAACUACGCGAAAGCGUGGCUAAUACCGCAUACGCCCGUACGGGGGAAAGGGGGGAUCGCAAGACCUCUCACUAUUGGAGCGGCCGAUAUCAGAUUAGCUAGUUGGUGAGGUAAAGGCUCACCAAGGCGACGAUCUGUAGCUGGUUUGAGAGGACGACCAGCCACACGUGGGACUGAGACACGGCCCAGACUCCGUACGGGAGCAGCAGGUGGGAUUUGACAAGUCGGGGGAACC
rnacentral:rRNA from 1 species